GGGCGUUAAGUUGCAGGGUAUAGACCCGAAACCCGGUGAUCUAGCCAUGGGCAGGUUGAAGGUUGGGUAACACUAACUGGAGGACCGAACCGACUAAUGUUGAAAAAUUAGCGGAUGACCUGUGGCUGGGGGUGAAAGGCCAAUCAAACCGGGAGAUAGCUGGUUCUCCCCGAAAGCUAUUUAGGUAGCGCCUCGUGAAUUCAUCUCCGGGGGUAGAGCACUGUUUCGGCUAGGGGGCCAUCCCGGCUUACCAACCCGAUGCAAACUGCGAAUACCGGAGAAUGUUAUCACGGGAGACACACGGCGGGUGCUAACGUCCGUCGUGAAGAGGGAAACAACCCAGACCGCCAGCUAAGGUCCCAAAGUCAUGGUUAAGUGGGAAACGAUGUGGGAAGGCCCAGACAGCCAGGAUGUUGGCUUAGAAGCAGCCAUCAUUUAAAGAAAGCGUAAUAGCUCACUGGUCGAGUCGGCCUGCGCGGAAGAUGUAACGGGGCUAAACCAUGCACCGAAGCUGCGGCAGCGACGCUGAUGCGUUGUU
rnacentral:rRNA from 1 species